CACGUGAGCAACCUGCCCCUAACUCUGGGAUAACUCCGGGAAACCGGAGCUAAUACCGGAUACGAGACACUCGGGCAUCCGAUGUGUCUGGAAAGAUUUAUCGGUUAGGGAUGGGCUCGCGGCCUAUCAGCUUGUUGGCGGGGUAACGGCCCACCAAGGCGACGACGGGUAGCCGGCCUGAGAGGGCGACCGGCCACACUGGGACUGAGACACGGCCCAGACUCCUACGGGAGGCAGCAGUGGGGAAUAUUGCGCAAUGGGCGAAAGCCUGACGCAGCGACGCCGCGUGAGGGACGAAGGCCUUCGGGUUGUAAACCUCUUUCAGCAGGGAAGAAGCGAAAGUGACGGUACCUGCAGAAGAAGCACCGGCUAACUACGUGCCAGCAGCCGCGGUAAUACGUAGGGUGCAAGCGUUGUCCGGAAUUAUUGGGCGUAAAGAGCUCGUAGGCGGUUUGUCGCGUCUGCUGUGAAAACUCGGGGCUUAACCCCGGGCCUGCAGUGGGUACGGGCAGACUAGAGUGCGGUAGGGGAGACUGGAAUUCCUGGUGUAGCGGUGAAAUGCGCAGAUAUCAGGAGGAACACCGGUGGCGAAGGCGGGUCUCUGGGCCGUAACUGACGCUGAGGAGCGAAAGCAUGGGGAGCGAACAGGGUUAGAUACCCUGGGAGUCAUGCCGUAAACGUUGGGCGCUAGGUGUGGGGCUCUUUCCACGAGUUCCGUGCCGCAGCAAACGCAUUAAGCGCCCCGCCUGGGGAGUACGGCCGCAAGGCUAAAACUCAAAGGAAUUGACGGGGGCCCGCACAAGCGGCGGAGCAUGCGGAUUAAUUCGAUGCAACGCGAAGAACCUUACCAAGGCUUGACAUGAACGGUAAUCCGGCAGAGAUGUCGGGUCCGUAAGGGCCGCUCACAGGUGGUGCAUGGUUGUCGUCAGCUCGUGUCGUGAGAUGUUGGGUUAAGUCCCGCAACGAGCGCAACCCUCGUUCUAUGUUGCCAGCACGUAAUGGUGGGGACUCAUAGGAGACUGCCGGGGUCAACUCGGAGGAAGGUGGGGAUGACGUCAAAUCAUCAUGCCCCUUAUGUCUUGGGCUUCACGCAUGCUACAAUGGCCAGUACAAAGGGCUGCGAGACCGAAGGUGGAGCGAAUCCCAAAAAGCUGGUCUCAGUUCGGAUCGGGGUCUGCAACUCGACCCCGUGAAGUCGGAGUCGCUAGUAAUCGCAGAUCAGCAACGCUGCGGUGAAUACGUUCCCGGGCCUUGUACACACCGCCCGUCACGCCACGAAAGUCGGUAACACCCGAAGCCGGUGGCCCAACCCUUGUGGAGAGAGCCGUCGAAGGUGGGACUGGCGAUU
rnacentral:rRNA from 1 species